GGAUGAACGCUGGCGGCGUGCCUAAUACAUGCAAGUCGAGCGAACGGCCGAGAAGCUUGCUUCUCUGAUGUUAGCGGCGGACGGGUGAGUAACACGUGGAUAACCUACCUAUAAGACUGGGAUAACUUCGGGAAACCGUAGCUAAUACCGGAUAAUAUUUUAAACCGCAUGGUUCAAAAGUGAAAGACGGUCUUGCUGUCACUUAUAGAUGGUUCCGCGCUGCAUUAGCUAGUUGGUAAGGUAACGGCUUACCAAGGCAACGAUGCAUAGCCGACCUGAGAGGGUGAUCGGCCACACUGGAACUGAGACACGGUCCAGACUCCUACGGGAGGCAGCAGUAGGGAAUCUUCCGCAAUGGGCGAAAGCCUGACGGAGCAACGCCGCGUGAGUGAUGAAGGUCUUCGGAUCGUAAAACUCUGUUAUUAGGGAAGAACAUAUGUGUAAGUAACUGCGCACAUCUUGACGGUACCUAAUCAGAAAGCCACGGCUAACUACGUG
rnacentral:rRNA from 1 species